rnacentral:rRNA from 1 species
UACGAAGGGGGCUAGCGUUGCUCGGAAUUACUGGGCGUAAAGGGCGCGUAGGCGGAUAGUUUAGUCAGAGGUGAAAGCCCAGGGCUCAACCUUGGAAUUGCCUUUGAUACUGGCUAUCUUGAGUUCGGGAGAGGUGAGUGGAAUGCCGAGUGUAGAGGUGAAAUUCGUAGAUAUUCGGAGGAACACCAGUGGCGAAGGCGGCUCACUGGUCCAUUACUGACGCUGAGGUGCGAAAGCGUGGGGAGCAAACAGG